AUGUCAACCCUCCCUUCCCCUAAACCUCACCACUGCCGCUCCUCCUCCUCCGCCGCCUUCCCUCCUCGUCUUCUCCGGCGGCACCGCCUUCAACGGCGUCGUCCAGGACCUCAUGAAUCUCACCACUCGCGUCGCGCACGUGCUUCCCGUCUCCGACGACGGCGGCAGCACCGCCGAGAUCGUCCGCGUGCUCGGUGGUCCGGCCGUCGGAGAUAUCCGGUCCAGGUGCUUGAGAUUGGCCGAUAAAAGCACCUCCGAGGCCGUCGCCGUAAGGCAAUUGCUUGGUCAUCGGUUACCGGUUGAUGCAUCCCAAGCCAAAUCCGAAUGGUAUGAGAUUGUGGAAGGAGAGCACUCUUUGUGGACUGGAGUAUCAAAGCCCUAUAGGGAAACCAUUCGAGCUUUUCUUGUUUAUUUUCAGAAUCAGAUUCUCCGUCGAGCUGAUGAAUCGUUUUGCUUCAGUAAUGGCAGCAUUGGGAAUUUCUUCUUUGCAGGAGCACGCGUAUUUUUCCGGUCUUUGGAUGCUGCAAUAUUUUUAUUCUCUCGAGUGUCGGAUAUUCCAUCAGAAAGUCUUGUUCUUCCAGUGAUUUCUACUAAUGACAGGCUUACAUUAGGAUGUGAAUUAUCGGAUGGAACUAUAAUACGAGGGCAAAAUGAAAUUUCUCAUCCAACCAAGGGAUACACGGCACUUGUCAAUAAGGGAAGCUCUUCAGCUCCCGCACUCUCUUCAAGGAUAAAGAGGGUGUUCUACAUGUCAAGUGAGGGCCAAAACUUGCUUCAUGAGGUCUUCCCUGCUCCAAACCCAACUGUGAUGGAUCAGCUACGUAAUGUAGGUUGCAUUGUUUAUGCCAUGGGUUCUCUCUUUACUUCUGUCUGCCCAUCACUGGUAUUAAUUGGCAUCGGGGAGAUUAUAUCUUCAAGGUCCUGCCCCAAGGUACUUUUGUUAAACGGUACCCAUGAUCGAGAGACAAGUGGCUUCUCAGCUUCUUGCUUUGUAACUGCUAUUACUGAUGCACUAAAUCGAACAUAUGGAGGCCCUCAUAACUGUCUCAAAAACCUUCCCAGUCACUAUAUCAAUACCCUAUUGGUGCCCAAAGAUGGUGAGGUACCUGUUAAUGUUCAAUGCUUAGCUGACCAAGGAAUUUUUGAAGUGAUUGUUGUUGACUCUGUACAUGAUCCAAAAGUAGGUGUGGUGUUUGACCCCAAGUCGUUAAUACAAGCCCUUGAUGAUUUGAUAGGCAGACACAUGCCUACAAGAGUUAAGGUGGUCUAAAUGAUGGCAGUGCAGAGAUUACGUUCAGACCCGAGCAAAAUUUCAUGUAGCUUUUGUAGUAUUGUUCAUAGUUUCAUGAUUGUUGAGGCAAGGGUAUGCGGCAAAUUGGUACUUUUACCGGAAAUGUGGCAGGCUCACUGCAAUUGAACUGUAUUAAGUUUAUGAUCAAAAGAUUAGUACCUCAUGUUUUUAAAUGCUGUACAUAAUCAACAAUGAUAUCGUUCAUGAACUAGGAAAGAAAGAAAAUGAUGCUGUACAGAAACAACUAUGAUAUUGUUUAUGAACUAGCUAGUAAAGAAAGAAAAUGUCAGUCAUUUUUGAU